rnacentral:misc_RNA from 1 species
AAUGGGCGUCUACUGAUUUGAGGUCAGAUGACAUGAGGGGAUGUCCGAAGACGAUUCGAAGCAGCCACACACACACACUGGAGAAACGGCGCCACAGUCACAAAAACGUUUCUUAUCACACCGUUCACACGAGCAGAGGUGGUGGACCAGCUGAUCCAUUUAGAGACGAGCCGACUCUCAAGAGAGAGGCGGCAAGACGCCCAAGUCCGACCUUGGACUCUCCCCCCGAUGAGAGGGAGAGAGAAGGUCAAGAGGAUUCACGACACUCAAACAGGCAUGCUCCUCGGAAUACCAAGGAGCGCAAGAUGCGUUCAAAGAUUCGAUGAUUCACUGAAUUCUGCAAUUCACAUUACGUUUCGCGCGUUCGCGGCGUUCUUCAUCGAUGCGAAAGCCAAGAGAUCCGUUGUUGAAAGUUGUGUGUAUAUAUUUUCCAAUCAAAGAGACAUGCUAUUCAAAAACGGGGUGGGGAUUCAAAUGGAAAGGACCCUCCCUCCGGGCCCCCCCGGAAGGGGGAAGGACAACUCCCCAACGGGGCACGGGGGGGGGAAAAAAAAGGCCAGGGAUGGCCCCCUUGCCUCCAAAAAGGCCACCUCCAACCCCCUCAAACCUUACUUAAAGGAUCCUUCCGCAGGCCCCCAACGAAAGG